AUUGAACGCUGGCGGCAUGCUUUACACAUGCAAGUCGAACGGUAACAGGGUGCUUGCACCGCUGACGAGUGGCGAACGGGUGAGUAAUGCGUCGGAACGUGCCGAGUAGUGGGGGAUAACGCAGCGAAAGUUGUGCUAAUACCGCAUACGUACUGAGGUAGAAAGUGGGGGACCUUCGGGCCUCACGCUAUUCGAGCGGCCGACGUCUGAUUAGCUAGUAGGUGAGGUAAAGGCUCACCUAGGCGACGAUCAGUAGCGGGUCUGAGAGGAUGAUCCGCCAAAAUGGGACUGAGACACGGCCCAGACUCCUACGGGAGGCAGCAGUGGGGAAUUUUGGACAAUGGGCGAAAGCCUGAUCCAGCCAUGCCGCGUGUCUGAAGAAGGCCUUCGGGUUGUAAAGGACUUUUGUCGGGGAGGAAAUCCCCAGCGUUAAUACCGCUGGGGGAUGACAGUACCUGAAGAAUAAGCACCGGCUAACUACGUGCCAGCAGCCGCCGUAAGAC
rnacentral:rRNA from 1 species